rnacentral:rRNA from 1 species
UACGUAGGGUGCGAGCGUUGUCCGGAAUUACUGGGCGUAAAGAGCUCGUAGGCGGUUUGUCGCGUUGUUCGUGAAAACUCACAACUCAAUUGUGGGCGUGCGGGCGAUACGGGCAGACUGGAGUACUGCAGGGGAGACUGGAAUUCCUGGUGUAGCGGUGGAAUGCGCAGAUAUCAGGAGGAACACCAAUGGCGAAGGCAGCUCGCUGGAACGGUACUGACGCUGAGGCGCGAAAGCGUGGGGAGCGAACAGG